GUGACUGCGUACCUUUUGUAUAAUGGGUCAGCGACUUAUAUUCUGUAGCAAGGUUAACCGAAUAGGGGAGCCGGAGGGAAACCGAGUCUUAAUUGGGCGUUAAGUUGCAGGGUAUAGACCCGAAACCCGGUGAUCUAGCCAUGGGCAGGUUGAAGGUUGGGUAACACUAACUGGAGGACCGAACCGACUAAUGUUGAAAAAUUAGCGGAUGACCUGUGGCUGGGGGUGAAAGGCCAAUCAAACCGGGAGAUAGCUGGUUCUCCCCGAAAGCUAUUUAGGUAGCGCCUCGUGAAUUCAUCUCCGGGGGUAGAGCACUGUUUCGGCUAGGGGGCCAUCCCGGCUUACCAACCCGAUGCAAACUGCGAAUACCGGAGAAUGUUAUCACGGGAGACACACGGCGGGUGCUAACGUCCGUCGUGAAGAGGGAAACAACCCAGA
rnacentral:rRNA from 1 species